GGGUCAGUAGGUUGGUCGUGCCACCGGUACGUACUGGUCUCACUGAUUCCUCCUUCCUGAAGAACCGUAAUGCCAUUAAUUUGGUGUUGCGGGGAAACAGGACUGUUACUUUGAAAAAUUUAGAGUGUUUAAAGCAAGCUAACGCUUGAAUACAUUAGCAUGGAAUAAUGAAAUAGGACGAUCGAUCCUAUUUUGUUGGCUUCUAGGAUUGACGUA
rnacentral:rRNA from 1 species